AGACUUUGAUACAGCUGUGGUGUACUCAGCAGUGAGAACUGAAGAUGUCACUUAUGGACAAAUAGCCAUCAAACCAAAGAAGAUCAGAGGAAACAAGCAUGAUACAGGAAACAGCAAAAGGCAUCAUUUGAUACAGUGAACUGCACAGCAGAGCUUCAGUGCAGGAUGUGUCUGUUUGAGACUGAAACACUUUAUGUCCUUGGACACUCAGAACCCAACCAGCAGCAGGUGACAUGGUGCAAAUGUUCAUUUUAAUGAAGGGUUUAAUCUUGUAUAAAAUGUGAGAAAUGUCCUGUAGUUUCAACAUUAAUUUUUGCAAUUUUUCUCAUUUUGUAAUGUAAUGUAAUGUUCUGUAAUGGCAUAGACUCAACCACAGGUCACCUUGCAAUAGCCACAUAUCACAUGUAGUCAAACUUGUGUCAUAAGUGAGAAACAAGUUUCAUACCGAUCCAGAUUAGGCCCAUUUUCUUUUGGUGUUCCCUUUUAUUAGCAAGAUGAAUUUCUAUUUAAUAUGAGGUCGAUUAAAAAAAAAAAACAGACUGAAUGUAUCAAAUGUUAUUUUUUGAUGUUUAAUUUUGUCUUCUCUAGAGUCUUGAAUGUAAAACCAAGAAGCAGCAACUUCACUACAGUGUUUUCUAUUUUGGUUAAUAAUGGGUUUCAUGCUGUGAGAACAUGUUUGCUUUGUGCUUUGUGGUGAAGUGCAUCAGUUUGUAGAAACGGAAAAUAAAAGCUCUGUGGUCGUUCACCUUUUUUGCACAAA